GGGGCUCAUAUGAAGUGUAAAUUUUGAUAGAUCUAUCACUGUGGGAGAAAAAAAACUCAAUUCAAUAUGAAGGGACAGUAAGAGAGAGAGGAAGAGGAGAAAGAAGAAGAAGACAGAAUCUGAAGGUGCCAAAGCCAUAACCGCUUUGGGGAAAACGGUAUAGCGGCACCUUCAUCUUCUGACCUAUAAUUUGUUUUGUUUAUUGUUUUUGAUUUUGAAAUUUGCUCUUUAGGCACCCAGCAUUUAUGAUGGAUGGAAUUGGGUAUUAUUUCCCACAUAUGGUUUC
rnacentral:lncRNA from 1 species